rnacentral:rRNA from 16 species
UUGGGGGAGUUGAAAACAAAUUUUGAUUCUCGAAUUGGGACACACUUUAAAAAUUUUCACUGAAUUUUUCAGCGAAAAAGAGAACUGAAAACCGUAAACUGAAAUAUCCUGAAGUGGUCUGAAGAAAAGGAAGCAAAAGCGAUUAUCUUAGUAGCGGCGAGCAAAAUGAGAUCA